UUUAUUCUGUUUCUGACAGUGGAGAUACGCUGAAAUUCAACAUACAUUGCUUCAUCAAGGUAUCACUUUACAUACCCUGACAGAUGUAGAUAUCAACAUUAAAGGUAGUUUCAGUAAAGGAAGAGGAAUUUAUGGUGUGGAUGCAGACACUGUUUACAGUGAAAAAGACAUCACACAAAAAGAGUUAAUUGGUAGACCAGAGUUGCGAAGUCAAGUUGCCAUUCCAAAAGACAUGUGUAUAGCUUUGGCCCAGGAAGUUCAUGGGAGUGUUUUCAGUAGACGUAAGGAACGUAGCAAAACUUGGAAGAGCUUAUUUGCAAGACGUUUGGUGAAAACAGCUAAGAUUGCCCAGUGUCAAGAUUGUAGAUGUGAAGCCGGGCAAGAUUAUGUAGCUAAGACUGUCUGUCAGCCUUGUAACCCUAUCUCACCAAAGGUUCCUUACACACUGUACUACAAUGAUGAUGAAGACACCUAUUUUUAAACAACUUGUGCACAAAAUAUUAACAAUUUAAAAAAACAAAUAAAUUCAGAAAUAAUUUUUCACCUAAAAAUAUUUUAUAAGUUUUUUGUUUGUCUUUGCUGUUCCUUUAUUUAGAUUGUAUGAAGAGAUGUAGAUGAUAAUACCGUUUCAUUUUCCUAGAAAAAAACAGUGUGUUAAUGUAAUUUUUGUUUGUGUCCCUGUUUAAACUUUAUUGUAUUAGAGUUGUCAAUAAACAAGCCUGUUGUGUAUUUACGCAA